GCUAAUUUAACCUUCAACUACCUUAGAAGAUUAAACAUGCACCAAUUAAAUACUAAGUCAAUUAAUUAUAAUAUCAAUCUAUUUAAUCAUUAAUUCAAUUGUUUCCUUACAAUUAAAAUGCAAGCAUAACAUAUACAUGAUUUUAUUUAAUUGAACAAUUUGUCAAGGCCUAAUAGCUUCACAAACACAUUUUUAAUAAUUCAAAUGGACAAAAUGCAAUUAAUCUAACACGAAUGAAAUUUAAGUCAUUUUAAUUAAUGCAAGAACAUCAACACAAAAAAUAUUCAUAAUCAUGAUCACAACAUAAACUGAAAAGAUUAAGAGAAGGGAACUGGAAAACAAAUCCUAAUAAUCUUCUAAAGCCAGACUAGUGCGCUCCUCUCUUUUCUGCUCGUUCUAUUGAUCUAAGGCCUUUAUGAACACUUGAUUGUUGUUGCUCUAAGGGGCGUGCUAGCUCUUUUUCAAGAGGGGAAAUCGAAAAUGGAAGAAAGAAUUUGGAAAGCAACUAGAAGGGGGAAAAAUAUGAGAGAAAAGGUAUGAGAGAGAGAUGUGUG
rnacentral:lncRNA from 1 species